GGUAUCGUUCGUUUGUUAACUAUCACCGAGACAAGUCAUUAUGGCUGUGCAGAAGUUGAUCUUGCUUUUUCUACUGGUUGCUCUGAUAGGAGCGAUUGGGGCUGACGAGCGUACAGGUCAAUGCAGUAGCAGCUACGAAUGUUAUUGGAAGGAGUGUCCAGGCGAAGAUAACCCACCUUUCUGCUAUGGCGAGAAAUGCUACUGCACAAAACAAGCUGGGUAAUUUAGUUCCCUUGGGGAGGAAACCGUUGGCAAUGCCAUCGCCUGAACGGAAUUUUUUUCAAACAGAGCUUCAUUAACUUGGUUGUUUCGAUAUUAGAACAGUUGCAGCAUAAUUGUAAUUCAGCAAAUCACAGAUUCCCACGUUAUUCGACAAUAGUACAUAUGACAAUGUCAUUUGUAUUUUUUUUUUUCACAUAAAUUAUGUAAUUUUGGAACAUGUAAAAUUUUUGGCAAUAAACCGACAUUGGAAGAGUUG